CUCGCGGGCCGCUCUUUGGCUGGCCCCGGGAGAGGCUGGGUCCCCCAGAUCCGAGCGCUGCAGAUGUCUGUGGCGCUGUGUGCGGGAGAGGGAGGCUGCCCGGCGAGGCGGAGGAAUGCUGGGCCCGCAGUUUCUGUGGGUCAGGAAUCUGGAAGUAGCUUAGAUGAGUGGUUCUGGCUCAAGGUGUCUCAGGAAACUGUAAUCAAGGUGUGGCCCAGGGCUACAGUCAUCUGGAAGCUCAACCAGGGAAGGAUCCACCUCCAAGUUCAUUCAUGUGGCUGUUGGCAGACCUUGAUUCCUCUCCAGUGGAGGGACUCCUGGAGCUAAGCUGACAUGAUCUGGCUCUUACUUUGGUCCUGGAGACCCUCCAUGGCUUACAGUAUCCCCUAUGAAUCUCUGUACCUGAAAUGCCCCCAUUUGAGAUUCCCCAGGGAAAAUGCUAAGAUUCAUGCUACAGGCUCUACCCUGUUUCCUGCACCUGGCGGGAGACACAGAGCACCUCCGCCCUUCAGGAAACAGCCCACUUGUCAGCAGCUGGGCUCCCAGGAACAAAGGCCUAGGUUCAUUACCACAGUAUCGACCCUGACACGUUCCACCCCGGCCAUCUCCCCCAGAGUUCCUCAAUUCACACCCCAAAUGAAGUGUAAUUGGACCUGGGCACCUUUGAAGUCCCCUAGCAGAUUGCCAGCAUUUUGAAAUGUCCUUGAUUUGCAUGGUGAGGACCUGGUUGGAGGUGACAUUUUCCUUCCCCUCAUCCCACAGUUUUAAAGACAGAAUUAUUUUAAAUGACAUUCCCAACUAGGAGGAGUUACCAUGGAAGAAAUAAAAAUUCUCAAAGCCAAAAAAAGAAAAGGAAAAAGAAUUGGAUGAUCUGAUUAAUCUCUAAUGCACCCUUAAGCCCAGUUCUGGUUCUGUGAAUGCCACAUCCGAAGCCACGGUUUCUUCUCAGACUUCUCUCCAGGACCCCAACCUGGGGGAUGACAAGGAUCAAGGAGAGACUGGACUAGGAGGUUGUGAAGGCCAGCAGGCAGGCCACUGUGAGACCUGAAACCAGAAAACAAGCCCAGCUGCAGGCCAGUGAGUUGGCGAGGGAGGUGGGGUGUGACUGUGGGUCAUCUAUCUUCCUUCCCAGCUGAGCCAGGGCUUGCUCUGCAAAGUCACGUGCAGUCCCAGAAGUCAGCAUGCCUGUGUGAGCUGUGGCUCUAAAGCUUGAUGGUUUCCUGCAGGCCACAGAGGCAAGGGCCUGCCUGGCAGAGUCGUGCCUGUGGGCUCUCAAGGAGCCAGUGUGGCAAUACACUUUGCCCCCACUUUGUGGCCAGCCCCCAACUUGUCUGCUUCUGUGAGUUUCCUCAGGGGCAGCUAUUCUCUGAAGCAAAUGACCCACUUUCCCCUAGAACAGCACUGUCUGACAGAACUUUCUUGAGGAUGGAAAUGUUCUAUGUCUGCACCAUCCAAUAGGGGAGCUGCUAGUCACUUGUGGCUAAUGAGCACUUCAGAUGUGACCAGUGUGACUGAGGUGCUGAAUUUUACUUUUGCUUAACUUUGAUUUAUAUAAACAAUAUGGCUAGUGGCUGCCAUAUUGGAUAGCACAGGGACAGAUGAUCAAGUAAAACCUAAGAAUGAAAGCCCCAGUUUGGGGGAUGUAUGGUGUCGACUAUCAAUUCCCCAAAAAAGACCAUCAGGAAAACUUCUAAAUUAAGCAGAGCUUAGAACUACUCAGUAAGAAAGAAUACCUCCUUAACAGUACUCAUGUCUCAAAGUAGGGAAAUUGGGGAAGGGUAUUUUAGAGCCCAGACUGGGUGAUUUUUAAGUUGGGUCUUUCAAGGCAAGAGAAUGACUGGGACUGGGGAGAGUUUAUGACAAAAUAGCUUUGGGUUGUGAACACAGCCAGGCAAAGGUCUUGUAGUAAGUCUUGAUGAGCUAGCUGUUGGUCUUGAUAACAAGCUAUUUUAGUUGGUUCAGCCUUAUCUUCCAGAAGCAAGUAUUUCUUAGGGUAAGUAGCUAAGUUAUUUUUGCUUGUUCUCAGUAUUAUUUAAACAUAGGACAGGAAAGUAUGCCUGGUCCCAGUAUUGUUUAACAUAGGGACAGGGAAUAACAAAUUACCCCCAAACUUAGUAACUUAAAACAAUAAACAUUUAUUAUCUCACAGUUUCUGAGAGUCAGGAAUUUGAGAGUGGCUCAGCUGGGUGGUCCUGGCUUGGGGUCUCUCAGGAGAUUACGGCCAGCACGUUGGCUGGGACUGCCAAUAGUCAUCUGAAAGCUUUACUGGGGCUGGAGGAUCCACUUUUAAGGUAGCUCCCUCGUAUGGCUGCUGAAAUGGUGCUGGCUAUUGGCAGGAGGGCUGGGUUCCUUGUCAUAUUGGUCCUUCCAAUGGGGCUGCUUGAGUAUACCACGACUUGGUAGCUGGCUUCCCCCUGAGCAAGUGAUUCAAAAGAGAGCCAGGCUGAACCCACAAUGUCUUUUAUCACCUAAGCUCAAAGUCUCUCUUCAUCAUUUCAACAAUAUCCUACUGGUUAUACAGGUCAGCCUUAUUCAGU